CGAGAUAUUCAUAAAAAUGUCUAGUGAUGACGUCACGCGCAGCCCCCCAUCUGCGGCGGAAUGGAACGGCGAUGAUGCCAUUUUUUUCUUCGUCGUUAGUGCUGGAUUGUGCUGCAAAAAGUUUUGUUUGAACUGCUACGGUUUUCGAGAUAUUCAUAAAAAUGUCUAGUGAUGACGUCACGCGCAGCCCCCCAUCUGCGGCGGAAUGAAACGGCGAUGAUGCCAUUUUUUUCUUCGUCGUUAGUGCUGGAUUGUGCUGCAAAAAGUUUUGUUUGAACUGCUACGGUUUUCGAGAUAUUCAUAAAAAUGUCUAGUGAUGACGUCACGCGCAGCCCCCCAUCUGCGGCGGAAUGGAACGGCGAUGAUGCCAUUUUUUUCUUCGUCGUUAGUGCUGGAUUGUGCUGCAAAAAGUUUUGUUUGAACUGCUACGGUUUUCGAGAUAUUCAUAAUAAUGUAAAGUGAUGACCUGUUUUCAGCGCUGCGGGCCGCACAAUCGGUUCUUGUCUCGUGACGUUUCUGGCGCAAUGCAUUGUGGGUUUUCGUGUAUUGUACAACAACAACAAGCCCGUGACGCGAUCCUUUGCUCGGCAUCCAUUCUGCGUGGUAAUCGUUGAAAAUGCAUUCCCGCCUGGAAGAGAAAAUAUGGAACUCCGAUGAGUUGACCAAGAGGCUUGAAUGGUUGCAGCGGUGAGAAGAAAGGCCAUCGCUUUUCAUUCAUCAACUGAAAACAUGUCGGUCUGUUCCCUACAUUUCCAUAAAGGAAAACCAGCAUAUGAAAGAAAUGAGGCAGACCCUGACUGGGCACCAUCCUUACGCCUGGGACACACAUGUGUUCAACCCACCAACGUGGACCGCUCUUCUAGACGAAGUAGGCAUGAGAAAUUGAGGAUGGAGGAGGACGUUGGUGCGCUACAGGAGGAGCCUUCAGCGCCCUUCAGAUGCUCCUUCUGACCUUCAUGCGCCUGCGUUAGGACCUGUCUGCACUACACAUUGCACACAUAUUCCAUGUUUCCCGUAAGACUGUGUACUGAGUAUUCAAUGACAUGGUGCCCUUUGUACAUGCUAAUUUGAGACGAGCAAUUGUUUGGCCCAACAGAGAAACACUCUAUAAAACAAUGCCUCACGAGUUUGUUGAGUCCUUCAGACGCAGAGUUGCAGUGAUUAUUGAUUUAAAAAAAAAUAAAAUAAAAUUACAGAGAAACCAUCAAAUAUUAAGGCCCGUGCGCAAAUGUUUUCUAGUUAUAAGCAUAACUACACCAUGAAAUACCUAAUUGGAAUCACACCAAAGUGGGGAAUUUGUUUCAUGUCAAAAGGUUGGGGUGGUUGCACAAGUGACAAACAUAUCACCUUGAACAGUGCUUUGCUCAAUAACCUUUUGCCUGGGGACAUUGUCUUGGCUGACAGAGGUUUUGAUAUUCAAGAACACGUGGGUAUGUUAUGUGCAGAGGUCCAACUCCCUGCGUUCACAAACGGUCGCUGUCAGUUAGCUGGUAGAGAUGUGGAGGAGACUAGGAAGAUGGCACAUUUGAGGAUCCAUGUUGAACAGGUAAUUGGUAAUCUUUGCCAGAAGUAUAAGAUCCUAACAGGAACUAUACCUAUUAACGUGGUUCUGCCAUGUGAUGGCGAAGAUUGCACAUUGUUGUAAAGAUUGUUUUAUGUUUGCGGUGCCCUUACAAACCUUUGCCCAACUGUUUUGUAGUUUGUACUGUUAUACGUGAAAGGUACCAUUUAGUAUGCUAACAGUUUCAGCCUUUCAAAUUUAGCUGUUGUUGAUUUUUUGUAUUUUGUUGUGACUUGAUUGUACUUAAUAAAACAUUGUCAUCUUGAAUCCUAUUCUUUGUAAGUACAGCAUUUGUGUCAAUACUGUAUUUUAUGUAUGUAUGUAUAUAUAUAUAUGUAUAUAUAUACACACACACACACGCAUAAUAAUGUUUAUACAAAGGACGACAGUUUACUACUUUGGCCAAGUACUUUUAAUGUUGCCAAAUUGUCAGUUAAAGCAAAUCACAAACUACCAAUCACCACUAACUUAAGUGGAGCACAGAGAGCAGAACUGACAUAUGUCUUUAGCUGUGUCAUGUUGUGUAGACCAACACAGGUUAAAUAAUAAUGGGGCAGUUCUCAUUAUCACACGCAACAAGUCAUCUUUGGUCUUCAGACCACGGCAGAAGCACCAUAACUGACAAAUACCGAUCUCUCGCUUCCUUUUCAAGCUUCUCCACAUAAGGAGUCUUGUCGUUCUUCAGGCUUUUUUCCAUUUUGAUGUGACAUUCGCGUGGCUGCUUCCCCGCAAAACUCAACAAAACAAACGUGACUGCGGCGGAUGUAGUCCAGGUCACUGAGAUACACGAAAGAUGGCGGCUCAGGUGGUCGUGAUGACGUAGGAGACAACAACCGAUAGAUCAGCGGAGAACGUCACUGAAACCUGUCAGUGGACGCAAUCUUAUUCCUGAUCUAUUGUGCGGCCCGCAGCGCUGAAAACUGAGGUCAUCACUUCACAUUAUUAUGAAUAUCUCGAAAACCGUAGCAGUUCAAACAAAACUUUUUGCAGCACAAUCCAGCACUAACGACGAAGAAAAAAAUGGCAUCAUCGC